AGAGUUUGAUCCUGGCUCAGCAGCGAACGCUGGCGGCAGGCCUAACACAUGCAAGUCGAACGGAUCCUUCGGGACUAGUGGCGGACGGGUGAGUAACACGUGGGAACGUGCCCUUUGGUUCGGAACAACUCAGGGAAACUUGAGCUAAUACCGGAUGUGCCCUUCGGGGGAAAGAUUUAUCGCCAUUGGAGCGGCCCGCGUCUGAUUAGCUAGUUGGUGGGGUAAAGGCCCACCAAGGCGACGAUCAGUAGCUGGUCUGAGAGGAUGAUCAGCCACAUUGGGACUGAGACACGGCCCAAACUCCUACGGGAGGCAGCAGUGGGGAAUCUUGCGCAAUGGGCGAAAGCCUGACGCAGCCAUGCCGCGUGAAUGAUGAAGGUCUUAGGAUUGUAAAAUUCUUUCACCGGGGACGAUAAUGACGGUACCCGGAGAAGAAGCCCCGGCUAACUUCGUGCCAGCAGCCGCGGUAAUACGAAGGGGGCUAGCGUUGCUCGGAAUUACUGGGCGUAAAGGGAGCGUAGGCGGACUGUUAAGUUAGAGGUGAAAGCCCAGGGCUCAACCUUGGAAUUGCCUUUGAUACUGGCAGUCUUGAGUACGGAAGAGGUAUGUGGAACUCCGAGUGUAGAGGUGAAAUUCGUAGAUAUUCGGAAGAACACCAGUGGCGAAGGCGACAUACUGGUCCGUUACUGACGCUGAGGCUCGAAAGCGUGGGGGAGCAAAGAGGAUUAGAUACCCUGGUAUUCCACGCCGUAAACGAUGAGUGCUAAUUUGUCGGCAUGCAUGCAUGUCGGUGACGCAGCUCACGCAUUAAGGAGUCCGCCUGGGGGAGUUCCGGUCGCAAGAUUAAAACUCAAAGGAAUUGACCUGG
rnacentral:rRNA from 1 species